GCAUGGCGCAGAGUGAUGGGUGUGGGUAGUUCCUUUAAUAUGACUGAGAGGAAAUGAGUUGGCUGAAGCCUCAGACCUCAGAAGUGCAUCAUGAUCCCAUAAGAGUCUCCCUAUCUUCUGUACACAGCUUAGAACUAAGAAUAUCAUUCACCCACACAAUCCUAGUCUUCAGCUGUUCGACUUUCCUUGUAAGAUCACUCAUGGAACCUUUACGGGACACUUUACGAGAACUCUUCUGGCUGUGGGUGGUUCUUGGAAUGAUUUUUGUUUCCUUGGUAAUAGGUCUCAUCUUCUUUCUUAUCAACAAGUGUAUUUCCAAGAAAGCUGCUGAACAAUACAAUACAAGUACACCAAGUCGCACCACACCUCAGUAUUAUGCCCAGAGCAGCAAAUAUCAUCCCAAAGAUCUGGAGGAUGAUUUGCCUCCUUUACCACCCAGGACUCAGUUUCUCACAUCCUCUCCCAAGACCAAAAGCUAUGAGAACCUUGUAGGGCUACCUGACUAUGUGAAAGUAGAUGACAAUGCCCCUCCUCCGCCGUACCAUCACACAGAGACACUGGUGUGUAAGGACAAUUGCCAUGACGGCAUUGCUGAGGACUACGACGACAUCGGAGCAGACAGCCAGAUUGAGGAGGACUAUGAUGAUCUGGGAUAAAGCCAGAGGCAAUGGAGACUAUACUAAAGAAACUGUUGUGGUACAUAUGUAAUGUAUACUCCUACUAGCCAAAAAUAGAUGUUCUGUAGAAGUACGACUAUCCCUCAGCUGAUAUGGCUUCAUGUUUUAAUCAUUUAUUUGGCAAUGCUUUACCAGUUUGCAGAAAACUAAAGUAUAGCUUUCUGGUACUUACCAAAAAGCUCUCUUGUAACAAUUUCUUACUUUUAAGAAUUCAACACAAUUUAGUUGUGUUUCAGGGUUUACAGUCAUGGCCAAAAGUUGAGAAUGACACAUUAAUUUUCACAAUCUGCUGCCUCAGUUUGUAUGAUGGCAAUUUGCAUAUACUCCAGAAUGUUAUGAAGAGGAUUCAGAUGAAUUGCAAAGUCCCUCUUUGCCAUGCAUAUGACCUGAAUCCCCAAAAAACAUUUCCUCUGCAUUUCAGCCCUGCCACAAAAGGACCAGCUGACAUGUCAGUGAUUCUCUCGUUAAGACAGGUGUGAGUGUUGAUGAGGACAAGGCUGGAGAUCACUCUGUCAUGCUGAUUGAGUUUGAAUAACAGACUGGAAGCUUCAAAAGGAGGGUGGUGUUUGGAAUCAUUGUUCUUCCUCUGUCAAACAUGGUUACCUGCAAGGAAACACGUGCCGUCAUCAUUGCUUUGCACAAAAAGGGCUUCACAGGCAAGGAUAUUUAUGCCAGUAAGAUUGCACCUAAAUCAACCAUUUAUCAGAUCAUCAAGAACUUCAAGGAGAGCAGUUCAAUUGUUGUGAAGAAGGCUUCAGAGCACCCAAGAAAGUCCAGCAAGCGCAAGGACCAUCUCCUAAAGUUGAUUCAGCUGCGGGAUCGGGACACCACCAGUACAGAGUUUGCUCAGGAAUGGCAGCAGGCAGGUGUGAGUGCAUCUGCACGCACAGUGAGGCGAAGACUUUUGGAGGAUGGCCUGGUGUCAAGAAGGGUAGCAAAGAAGCCACAGACUGAUAUUCUGAUAUCCCAGAAGGGACAGACUGAUAUUCUGCAAAAGGCACAGGGUUUGGACUGCUGAGGACAGGGGUAAAGUCAUAUUCUCUGAAUCCCCUUUCCGAUUGGGGCAUGCGGAAAAAAAAUCUUGUCCGGAGAAGACAAGUAACGCUACCAUCAGUUCUGUGUCAUGCCAACAGUAAAGCAUCCUGAGACCAUUCAUGUGUGGGGUUGCUUCUCAGCCAAGGGAGUGGGCUCACUCACAAUUUUGCCUAACACAGCCAUGAAUAAAGAAUGGUACCAACACGUCCUCCCAACCAUCCAGGAACAGUUUGGUGACGAACAAUGCCUUUUCCAGCAUGAUGGAGCACCUUGCCCUAAGGCAAAAGUGAUAACUAAGUGGCUCGGGGAACAAAACAUCAAUAUUUUGGGUCCUUAAUCCCAUUGAGAACUUGUGGUCAAUCCUCAAGAGGCAGGUGGACAAACAAACAACCCACAAAUUCUGACAAACUCCAAGCAUUGAUUAUGCAAGAAUGGGCUGCCAUCAGUCAGGAUGUGGCCCAGAAGUGAAUUGACAGCAUGCCAGGGUGGAUUGCAGAAGUCUUUAAAAAGAAGGGUCAACACUGCAAAUAUUGACUCUUUGUAUCAACUUAAUGUAAUUGUCAAUAAAAGCCUUUGACACUUAAAUGCUUGUAAUUAUACUUCAGUAUUCCAUAGUAACAUCUGACAAAAAUAUCUAAAGACACUGAAGCAGAAAACUUUGGAAAUUUGUCACUCAAAACUUUUGGCCACGACUGUACUAUGUAACUGAAACUAUUAGGCUGUAGUUAGCAGAAAAAAAGAAAAGCUGUGUAGUUACAAAAUGAAUAUUGAACAUAAUAUAAUGGAAAAAUGUGCACAGAAAAUUAACAAAUCUUAGUAAUUACCAAGCACCAUAUGCUGGUCAAUGGUGCUUGUUUUGCAAACUUAUUAAAUCCCAUAGACCAAACCAGUUGUAUCAGGAAUCAACACAAGUGAAGUGGUAUAUUUCUCCAUUUUACUCAGUCUUUAUAUCUGAGCAGUAAUCUGAUGCUUGCUGAGUUUAUAAACCAGCAUAGUUGUUGAAACCCUGUAGUUCUAGGAAUCAAUGUUAGAUUGUGUUUAUAACUGUGUACUUAUGCUCUUAGCUCACUGUGGAUCAUGAAGCAGCAGACCUUGCCCUGUAAAACAUGACAUUUGUUUUAUGAAACCAAUAACUGUAAAAGGUUUCCAACAGAUCGGAUAUAGAGUAUAAGAAUAGAAAUGGGUGAAAAGUUGACUUCCCUUGUCCACCAGUGACAACUUCCUUUCGCAAAGUUAAAAAUGAGAUCCUCUGGUUAUUGACAAUGGAACAAAUAGGCAUUUCAAAAUCUGUAUUGAUUAAAAUACGAAUGUAAUCUACAAGCCCUGCCAUAAAGGUAAACUGCAAAAAAGUGAAGCGUUUACCACUUACUGUAUGCAACCGAAACUUUUGAAAAAAGAAGCCGUUUAGUUUCAGUUUGAAUACUGAAGGGUUUGUUGCAGGGGUUUCAAAAUGGCUAGUCUCUUGUCGAGCCUAGAAGCUUGGCAUGCAACACAAAUGGUCGGUCAAAUUUACUCCCUUCCUUCCACACUGCAAUGUCUUCUACCAGAGGAGGGCAGUACAGAGUAACGUAUGCAUGUUUGAUUUGUCCACAGUACAUUUUUUCUACAGUUGCAAUAAACAAUGUAAGCGUUCUCACAUUGUUGAUCCUAGCGCAUCCGAGCACUCUUUUGGUACUGGAAUCAAAUGAUUGAAUACAUUUCAAAUUUCAUUAUGGAACUCCUUACAGAAAAACUUGCUUCAACUUAUGCAACACUGCAGAAAAAUUACAAAGAAAAUAUCUCCAGCAUUAUCUACAUAUGCCACACGUUUAUUCUUUUUAAAAAGUAAAAGAAAACACUCAAUCUGAAUUCAUUCAUUCAGAUUUUUUCCUCCACUGUUUCCCAUCAUUUGACAAUAUUGUUGAGCCUCAUUUUUUCGCCACAGAGAAAGCCAAAUCUCAACGCAACCAAAGGUUAACCAUCAAAAGUCACUUCCCGUUACAUCCACUCAUGUGGUCUUAAAGUGAGUCUGGCUUAUUGAACAGUUUGAGGGAGAUGUAAGUCACACACCAAUCUCCGAAAAGCUCUGGUUGGAGAUUGGCGUUGUCCAUCCAGAACUAGAGAAACAAGUCGGAAAAAAAGACCAAGUUUGUCCCUCUGUCUCUCACUGAGGAAAAGUCCAUUAUAAAGUGA
rnacentral:lncRNA from 1 species